rnacentral:snRNA from 1 species
AUCGCUUCUCGGCCUUUUGGCUAAGAUCAAGUGUAGUAUCUGUUCUUAUCAGUUUAAUAUCUGAUACGUCCCCUACCCGGGGACCAUAUAUUAAAUAGAUUUUUGGAACAGGGAGAUGGAAUAGGGGCUUGCUCCGUCCACUCCACGCAUCGACCUGGUAUUACAGUAUCUCCAGGAACGGUGCACUCCCU